rnacentral:lncRNA from 1 species
UUUUUGUAAGUCUGCCACUAGCAACCACUGGCUAACAGUGAACUUGUGCAAUAAUAUUUGUUGGUUCCCAUUGCGGUUUAGGUGUGUCUGUCAUCUGCAGAAUAGAGAUAAAAAAGAGUAUAAGGAUUAUUCAAUCCAGGUAGCUUUUGGACAGCCAUUUCAAGCAACAAUUAUCUGUGUAUUAAUCUUAAGCUCUUUAACCAACAUGAAAAAAGAAACAAAAUUACUUGGAAGAUUAU